rnacentral:rRNA from 1 species
UCUACAUGAUCUGCGAACGGCUCAUUAAAACAGUUGGAAUUUUGCUCGAACUUGAUUUCCUAAACGGAUAUCUGCGAUAAAUUUUGGAGCUAAUACGUUGCACCAUGUCCUUGCUCUUCGAGCAGGGGGCACUUAUUUACCGAAGAUUAAACGGGCCUCGGUCCGCUUUGGUGACUCUGAAUAAUUUCGCUGACCGCACGGUUUUACACCGGCGGCGUUUCGAUCGACCGACUGACCUAUCAACUAUCGUUGGAAGUCCAUGUGGCUACCAAGGUGGUGACGGGUAACGGAGAAUAAGGGUUCGACUCCGGAGAGGGAGCCUGAGAAACGGCUACCACAUCCAAGGAAGGCAGCAGGCGCGUAAAUUACCCACUCUCAAUGCGAGGAGGUAGUGACUAUCAAUAACGAGACAGAUCUCUAUGAGGCCUGUUAUCGGAAUGGGUACAAUGUAAACCCUUUAACGAGGAUCUAUGAGAGGGCAAGUCUGGUGCCAGCAGCCGCGGUAAUUCCAGCUCUCAAUGUGUAUAUCGUCAUUGCUGCGGUUAAAAAGCUCGUAGUUGGAUCUGAGACGGCGGAGGUGGUGCUCUUCGAGUAACUGCCGUUCGCGUCUGAAUGUCGGUUUGGCGUAGCCUUCGGGUUGCGUUGACUGGCGUGAUUACCUUGAAUAAAUUAAAGUGCUCAAAACAGGCGUUACGCUUGUAUAUCCGAUCAUGGAAUAAUGGAAUAUGACUUCGGUUUGUUCUGUUGGUCUUAGAACCGAAAUAAUGGUUAACCGGGAUUGCCGGGGGCAUACGUAUCGUUGCGAUAGAGGUGAAAUUCUUGGACCGCAGCGAGACGCCCAAUUGCAAACAU